GGAACAUUUUGUUCUAUAAAAUACGCUGUCACCUUCUAACAAUUUUCCGUUGUUGUGCUGUUUGAUAAGUGACAAGUUUCACAUUGCACAGGUGGCCAAUUUCACCAGUUCCUUGAGCCCUAUCAGUAUCAUUUAUCAGAAACAGCAGAGAAUGCUGCAUGCACUGCGCUAGAGACAUUAAUUCCAGUCGUGUCUACAUUCCUCACUGGCUAAAGGACUUCAAGAUUGGUUUGUACUUUCGGCUUACCAUUGAUAACUUAAGAUAUCAUCCCAUGUGACACAGUCUUACUGCAUCUGUAUCUUAGGUACUUUUCCAAUGUCUUUGCAUUUUACCCAAGCUCUGAGUGAAGCAUGAAUGGCCCUGCCUUCCAUUAUGGGAUUUCCAGGCAUCAGUGUCUUCAGUGGCAAUGAAGAACAGCUGGCCACCAUUCUCUGUGAUAAUAACCUUCGUACAGUCAAAACUGGAGUGGUUUUGGACAUGGUACUUAUAAGAACAUCUCCUUGCAAAUGAUUGUGCCCCCUCCUCACCUCUCCAACCCCUAAGCAGCUUCAAGCUCCUCCUCCUCCCUUGGACCAUAUGGGGAAGCUGGCUCAGUGGCUGUUAUUCUACUGCUCCAAGUUCACGCAGCUGUUCAUUCCCUGCUUAAUGUACCGGUAAUUACAGCAAUGUGCUCUUCUCUUUUUCCAAUCAUGUAACUUUUUCUAAUGGAAAAUUAUUUGUUUUUAACAACGUCCACGCAUUCUAUUCUUUAAUAAGAAAGGAGGUCUUCUGGAAUCAAGAGAUUAAAUUCUCUACAAAAAACAAAAGUUUCUGUAUCACUUUCCAGCUCCAUAGGAGGCUCAGUGGGACAAGCUGAAAUUGAGGCGGGGGCACUUAAGUGAGUGUAACUAACUUGAUAUGAAUAGGCCGGUUGGGAAACAAAGCAAACUCAUAGCCUUCUGCACAUGGAGGUGAUGAAAGAAUAUUUUUUUUAAAAUGAGAAACUGGGAAAAAUCAAAAGUAGAAAUUGAGCUCUGCUUUCAUGAUCCAAAUUCAAUAUGCUCUCAAAAGAUUUUUAAAACAAAUAUUUGAAGAGUUUUUCCACUUAUCUUGGUUCUAUCUUUCAGAGCUUGCAAAUUUUUUGCUUUUAUGUCUGGGAUUGGGUGGGGACUUCAAAUGACAGCAAGGAGAGCUUCUUUCCUUCCACCUAUGCCAAGUUCACGGGCAUAGAUCAACAUCUGUUUGCUCACACUGUCAUUUGUGGAUGAAAUAAUUCAGCCUUGGAAUCUCUGCCCUCGUGUCUCCUUAAAUGGCACUGGGAAUCAUCGUACACACACAAAAACCAUUAAUUUUUUCAAAGCAAUAAAUUUUCUACUCAUUAGAAGGUUUUGUUUUGGGACUUUCAUUUUAAAAACUUAAUUAAGAAGCAGUUGUAGCAAAGAACACCAAAUCAAAUCCUGUGUGUGGAUAAAGAUCCUAGUUCUGUACUACAGAUAGAGCUGAUCAAAUCAGAAGGAUGAUAGCAAAAUGAAAGUUUCUUUUAUAUGCAAAUUCAAAAUUUGAUUGAGCUGAGAGGACCACAGACUAUGAUUGCAAAUUGAUGCCUCAUUUGACAUUUUAAGGGUUUGAAUCAUUUGAGAUUUAGUUACAUCAAAAAUUAUAAGACAUAUAUUCUGAGUCCCAAAUCUUUUAGUGCUAAAAUGUGUUGAUAUUUCCAAAGGGCUCUAAUUUUAUUACUUGAGUAUUAGCUUUAUGCUAAGGCUUCCUUCGGAGAAGGCAAUGGCACCCCACUCCAGUACUCUUGUUUGGAAAAUCCCAUGGACGGAGUAGCCUGUUAGGCUGCAAUCCAUGGGGUCGCUAAGAGUCGGACACAACUGAGCGACUUCACCUUCACUUUUCACUUUCACGCAUUGGAGAAGGAAAUGGCAACCCACUCCAGUGUUCUUGCCUGGAGAAUCCCAGGGACGAGGGAGCCUGGUGGGCUGCCGUCUCUGGGGUUGCACAGAGUCGGACACGACUGAAGUGACUUAGCAUAGCAUAGGGCUUCCUUGGUGGCUCAGCUGGUAAAGAAUUCACCUGCAUUGUGAGAGACCUGGGUUCGAUCCUUGGGUUUGGAAGAUGCCCUGGUGAAGGGAAUGGCUACCCACCCCAGUAUUCUGGCCUGGAGAAUUGACUGUAUAGUCCAUGGAAUUGCAAAGAGUGGGACAUGACUGAGUGACUUUCACUUUCAGCUUUAUGCUAAUAAUGAUUAGUAGCAAGAUGAUUGCUGGAAAUCAGCUCUCUUCUCCUCUAUUCUUCUAAACUAGCCCAUCCACCAACUCCUUACAAAAGUCUUUUGUUUUUUCCUUUGAGAUUUUUUUUUUCAGAAAGCACACAAAAGUGAAGAAAUUUGACAUUUUCAAAUUGAAAUUUAGAACUAUAUAAUUUCUUAAUUUGUACUAACUUUGGCAAAACAGUUGCUUUCCUUCAAGACCACAAUAGCCACAGUAGCAGCAUGACAGCAUUUUUGUUCCUCUCAAGUCUGGCUAGAAGCUCCAUGUGUGACAAACAACAAUGAGAAAGACCUGCUCCUCAUUCCUUAUGAAUGCAGCAUGUGAAUCUGGAUUCGACUGCACCCUGUAGGAAAUCAUUGCUGUCUGCUUUAUGAAAAGCGAACAUGUAAUUUAAUACAUUUAAGCAAACGAAGAACAAGGGUCUACAGAAUUUGUAACAUGACUCGACUCUAAUCUAGGUGUCUAUCCUACCUCAUAAUCUAUUUCUUUUGAUGUGCAUCAGUAUCUUCAAAAAGAAUUGUUUUAAAAGCUUUAAAUCAUUUUGAUAUAUGUUAGACCGUCAAAGCUAUACAUGUGAUCUGAUGAAUGUCAAAAUGUAUGAUGAGCGACUGCUCACACUCCUCAUUAUACUCAUUCAUUCAGCAAAUACUUUAUUUUUUCCAGCUGUAUUGAGGAAUAAUUAACAAAUAAAAUGCUAUAUGUUUAAAGUGUAUUCAAUCAGCCAAUGCUUAUAUAAUUUUACUUUUCCAGCUGUGUUGAGGAAUAACUGACAAAUUUCUAUAUAUUUAAGUUGUGUGACAUGAUGAUUUGAUAUUUGUAGGCACUGUAAAAUGAUUACCACCAUGAAAUUCAUUAACACAUUCAUUUUAAAAUAAAUUGUGUGUGUGUGUGUGUGUGGUAAGAAUGCUUAAGAUCUGUUUCAACAGAUGUCAAGCAUACAACACAAUAUUACUGACUAUAGUCUCCAUGCUGUAUAUUGGAAUCCUAGAACUUACUCAUUUUAUAACUGCAACUCUGUGCCCUUUGAUCAAUAUCUCUUCACUUCUUCCACAUACCACCCACCCUUACCCCCAGCCCUGGAAACCAUCAUUUUACUCUUUUCUAUGACUUAUUUUUUUAAUUUAUCUUUUAGAUUCCACAUAUGAUGAGAGAUCAUACAGCACUUGUCUGUCCUCUAUCCAGCUUAUUUUAUUUACCAUAAUAUCCUCUGGAUUCGUAAUCUUGUCACAAAUGGCAGGAUUUUCUUCUUUUUAUGGCUGAAUAGUAUUCCAUUGUUUAUACAUCACAUCCUUAUCCAUUCAUACAUUGAUAGACUCUUAUGUUGUUUCUGUAUCUUGGCUAUUGUGAAUUAUACUGCAAUAAACAUGAGAGUACAGAUAUUUCUGAGAUACCGAUCUCAUUUCUUUUGGAUAAAUGUCCAGAAUUGGAAUUGUCAGGUCAUACAGUAGUUUAUUUUUAAUUUUUGUGGAAUCUCAAUCCUGUUUUCCUUUGUGAUUGUACCAAUUUAUAUUUACAGUGACCGUGCACAAGAAUUCCUCUUUUUCCACAUCCUCACCAG
ensembl:lncRNA